rnacentral:lncRNA from 10 species
AGCCAACAGAUGAGCCUCUCACUUAGCUGCAGUCAAGGAUGUCUCUGCCAGCACUUUUCCUUCUCUGAAGUCUACAAAUCACAAGUCGUGAGGAAAAUGACAUUAGUGCCUCCUCACAAUAAUUUAGGGAUGACAGCUCUGAAGAAUUCCAAUGAACUUUCAAAUAUGGUACCAGCCCCAGCCAACUGCAAUCCUGGUCUGUGAGUAGAAUCGGAGUACAUUUUCUUCCAAGAGCAUUAUGCUAAAGGAAGCUAUGAGCUUAAGAAUUCAUAGAAGAUUAAACAUCAUGGCUGUGAGUACUUGGAGCUAGACAUCUACAAGAUGAAAGGAUCCUGUUUAGUCCAGAUUUUCCAGAGCAGUGAGCACUAUCUUCUUUUGAAGACCCCAAGUUGUCUAAGUUUUACAAGGGAAGAAUGAAGAAUAUUCAUACCUACUUGAGGGAGUGAUAAAUGAGUUAUGCCAAUAAGGACAAGAGUAAUUGGGAGAGAAGUCCUAAAACAAAAAGCUGGAAAAUGUGAAAGAACAGAUGAAAAGGAUAAGCAGUCAUGCUCCUUUAACUUAAAAUAACCAUCAAAUUCCUAACACUGGUAUAUUAGUCCAUUUUGCAUUGCUGUGAAGGAAUACCUGAGACUGAGUAACUUAUAAGGAAAAAGUUUACUUUUGGCUUAUGGUUCUGCAGACUUUAACAAGAAGCAUGGUGUCAGCAUCUGUGUCUGGUGAGGCCUUAGAAAGCUUACAAUCAUAGCAGAAGGCAAAGGCGAGGCAUGUUUGUCACAUAGAGAGAGAGGGAGCAAGAGAGGGAGGAAGGGCCAGGCUCUUUUUAACAAUCAGAUCUGGUGGUAAAUAAUAGAGCAGGAACUCACUCAUUACCACCUAGAGGGCACCAAACCAUUCAUGAAGGAUCCACCCCCAUGACUAAAACACCUCCCACUAUGCCCUACCUCCAACAUUGGAGAUCACAUUUAAACAUGGGAUUUGCAGGGGUCAGGCAUCCAAACUAUAUAAAGUAGUAUGCCCUUUUUAAAAUAUGCAUAUGUAGUAUACUUCAUUCUAUUUUAACAUUACUGCUCUAUAAUCUUCUUACAUGUUAACAAUAUCAAUGGCCCUAUAUUCAGAGGCCAAUAUGGGGUCUUUUCAAGGUUGUGAACAAUCUCCACACAGCCAGGGGAAGUCUUCUGAGGAAAGCAGGUAUACUAAGGACUAUCCUCAUGAUUAGAUGAUCAAAAAGAAAGUACUUGAUUUUCAAGGUGUCCCCACAUUUGUCCAACACCAAGAAAUCAAGUACAGCAAAGGUUAAUGAAAUUUGACAAUUGGAAAAUACAAGCAGAAAGAGAAAGAUGCAAAACAGAAAUAAACAGCAACAAAGGGAAAACGUUUUGCACACUAGAAAUUGAGUUUUGUUAAAAGCAAAAGGAGUCUCUGCAGCCUUUGGGUACAACACAGACCUAAGCAUGUUACCACCACUCGAAGGUGUUCCAUCAGCCAAAACAGGGAAAACCUUUGGAGAGAUCAUGCACUAAAACAAUAGAACCAAAGAUGAGGUUUUACUUUUAAUCACCUAAUGUGGGAAGACUAACAGUUAAGCAAAGAAACGUGUGUUAUAUAUGUUAUCACUCAUUGUAUAUAAGAUAAAUAUGCCUAAAUAUAUUGCAUAAGCAAACUAUUUGCAUUUCACUCAUUCGUCUUGAUCAAUUAAUUCUUUCACUUCCAAGUCCAAGAUGGCAAAGAAUUUACUAAAUCAACAGUUCUCACACUUUUUAACUUAGGUUCCGAUUCAGAAGAUCACAUGAUCUGAUGGACACUAAGAUUUGAGAACUGCUGUUUGUUUUUUCAAGUGGAAAAACCUG